UUCGAGCCCCGCAUGUGCGUC
rnacentral:misc_RNA from 1 species